rnacentral:tRNA from 1 species
UAUUUAUUUAGUAUAUUGAGUAUAUUUGAUUUCCAAUCAAAAGGAUUGUUGUAUCAAAAUAAAUA